rnacentral:rRNA from 1 species
CCUACGGGAGGCAGCAGUGGGGAAUCUUGGACAAUGGGCGCAAGCCUGAUCCAGCCAUGCCGCGUGAGUGAUGACGGCCUUAGGGUUGUAAAGCUCUUUCGCCCACGACGAUGAUGACGGUAGUGGGAGAAGAAGCCCCGGCUAACUCCGUGCCAGCAGCCGCGGUAAUACGGAGGGGGCUAGCGUUGUUCGGAAUUACUGGGCGUAAAGCGCGCGUAGGCGGCUUUGUAAGUUGGGGGUGAAAUCCCGGGGCUUAACCUCGGAAUUGCCUUCAAAACUGCAUGGCUUGAGUUCGGGAGAGGUGAGUGGAAUUCCCAGUGUAGAGGUGAAAUUCGUAGAGAUUGGGAAGAACACCAGUGGCGAAGGCGGCUCACUGGCCCGUAACUGACGCUGAGGUGCGAAAGCGUGGGGAGCAAACAGGAUUAGAUACCCUAGUAGUC